rnacentral:rRNA from 1 species
UACGGGGGGAGCAAGCGUUGUUCGGAUUUACUGGGCGUAAAGGGCGCGUAGGCGGCCACCGCAAGUCGACUGUGAAAUCUCCGGGCUUAACCCGGAAAGGUCAGCCGAUACUGCGGGGCUAGAGUGCAGAAGGGGCAACUGGAAUUCUCGGUGUAGCGGUGAAAUGCGUAGAUAUCGAGAGGAACACCUGCGGCGAAGGCGGGUUGCUG